rnacentral:rRNA from 1 species
GACGAACGCUGGCGGCGUGCUUAACACAUGCAAGUCGAACGGAAAGGCCCUGCUUUUGUGGGGUGCUCGAGUGGCGAACGGGUGAGUAACACGUGAGUAACCUGCCCUUGACUUUGGGAUAACUUCAGGAAACUGGGGCUAAUACCGGAUAGGAGCUCCUGCUGCAUGGUGGGGGUUGGAAAGUUUCGGCGGUUGGGGAUGGACUCGCGGCUUAUCAGCUUGUUGGUGGGGUAGUGGCUUACCAAGGCUUUGACGGGUAGCCGGCCUGAGAGGGUGACCGGCCACAUUGGGACUGAGAUACGGCCCAGACUCCUACGGGAGGCAGCAGUGGGGAAUAUUGCACAAUGGGCGGAAGCCUGAUGCAGCAACGCCGCGUGCGGGAUGACGGCCUUCGGGUUGUAAACCGCUUUCGCCUGUGACGAAGCGUGAGUGACGGUAAUGGGUAAAGAAGCACCGGCUAACUACGUGCCAGCAGCCGCGGUGAUACGUAGGGUGCGAGCGUUGUCCGGAUUUAUUGGGCGUAAAGGGCUCGUAGGUGGUUGAUCGCGUCGGAAGUGUAAUCUUGGGGCUUAACCCUGAGCGUGCUUUCGAUACGGGUUGACUUGAGGAAGGUAGGGGAGAAUGGAAUUCCUGGUGGAGCGGUGGAAUGCGCAGAUAUCAGGAGGAACACCAGUGGCGAAGGCGGUUCUCUGGGCCUUUCCUGACGCUGAGGAGCGAAAGCGUGGGGAGCGAACAGGCUUAGAUACCCUGGUAGUCCACGCUGUAAACGGUGGGUACUAGGUGUGGGGUCCAUUCCACGGGUUCCGUGCCGUAGCUAACGCUUUAAGUACCCCGCCUGGGGAGUACGGCCGCAGGGCUAAAACUCAAAGGAAUUGACGGGGCCCCGCACAAGCGGCGGAGCAUGCGGAUUAAUUCGAUGCAACGCGUAGAACCUUACCUGGGUUUGACAUGGAUCGGGAGCGCUCAGAGAUGGGUGUGCCUCUUUUGGGGUCGGUUCACAGGUGGUGCAUGGCUGUCGUCAGCUCGUGUCGUGAGAUGUUGGGUUAAGUCCCGCAACGAGCGCAACCCUUGUUCACUGUUGCCAGCACGUUAUGGUGGGGACUCAGUGGAGACCGCCGGGGUCAACUCGGAGGAAGGUGGGGAUGACGUCAAGUCAUCAUGCCCCUUAUGUCCAGGGCUUCACGCAUGCUACAAUGGCUGGUACAGAGAGUGGCGAGCCUGUGAGGGUGAGCGAAUCUCGGAAAGCCGGUCUCAGUUCGGAUUGGGGUCUGCAACUCGACCUCAUGAAGUCGGAGUCGCUAGUAAUCGCAGAUCAGCAACGCUGCGGUGAAUACGUUCCCGGGGCU